CGCAUCUGUGCAUGCAGCAUAUCAAUAAGCGGAGGAAAAGAAACUAACAAGGAUUCCCCUAGUAACGGCGAGUGAAGCGGGAAGAGCUCAAAUUUGAAAUCUUAAAGGGUUUCCCUUUACGAAUUGUAGUUUAAAGAAGUGUUUUCUGUUGAGGUUUUGGUAAAAGUUCUUUGGAAUAGGACAUCAUAGAGGGUGAGAAUCCCGUAUUUGACCUUUACUUUCAACUUUGUGAUACACUUUCAAAGAGUCGGAUUGUUUGGGAAUGCAGUCCAAAAUGGGUGGUAAAUUUCAUCUAAAGCUAAAUAUUGGCGAGAGACCGAUAGCGAACAAGUACCGUGAGGGAAAGAUGAAAAGAACUUUGAAAAGAGAGUUAAACAGUACGUGAAAUUGUCAAAGGGAAGCGUUUGACACCAGUGCUGUUUUUCUGAAAAUCAAUUAAAGAACUGUUUAUGCUAAGCUGUUUAGACUUUAUCAGCUAUCUGUUUAGUUUUGAGCUUUUCUUUAAUGCACUUUUCAGUUAACAAGUCAACAUCAAUUUCUUUUGCUGUAAAAAAGCUUGAGGAAGGUGGCUUGAGAUUCGUCUUAAGUGUUUAUAGCCUCUUGCCUAUGCAGUCGGAGAGAUUGAGGUCUGCAGCGUAGAUCCUUCGGGGCUAAAUGCAUUUGUGCUAAGUUAUAGCAUUUUAUAGACAACUUGUUGACUAUGAUUUGUCUUGUAGCUUACUCGCUUAUGUUAUUUUACCUACGCUUAGGAUGUUGAAUCUGUGCGAGACUAC
rnacentral:rRNA from 1 species